rnacentral:rRNA from 1 species
GACGAACGCUGGCGGCGUGCUUAACACAUGCAAGUCGAGCGGUAAGGCCCUUUCGGGGGUACGACGAGCGGCGAACGGGUGAGUAACACGUGGGUGACCUGCCCUCAGCUCUGGGAUAAGCCUGGGAAACUGGGUCUAAUACUGGAUAUGACUCCACGGUGCAUGUCGUGGGGUGGAAAGCCUUGUGCGGCUGAGGAUGGGCCCGCGGCCUAUCAGCUUGUUGGUGGGGUGANGGCCUACCAAGGCGACGACGGGUAGCCGGCCUGAGAGGGCGACCGGCCACACUGGGACUGAGACACGGGCCCAGACUCCUACGGGAGGCAGCAGUGGGGAAUCUUGCGCAAUGGGCGAAGGCCUGACGCAGCGACGCCGCGUGAGGGAUGACGGCCU